GACGAACGCUGGCGGCGUGCUUAACACAUGCAAGUCGAACGGAAAGGCCCUGCUUUUGUGGGGUGCUCGAGUGGCGAACGGGUGAGUAACACGUGAGUAACCUGCCCUUGACUUUGGGAUAACUUCAGGAAACUGGGGCUAAUACCGGAUAGGAGCUCCUGCUGCAUGGUGGGGGUUGGAAAGUUUCGGCGGUUGGGGAUGGACUCGCGGCUUAUCAGCUUGUUGGUGGGGUAGUGGCUUACCAAGGCUUUGACGGGUAGCCGGCCUGAGAGGGUGACCGGCCACAUUGGGACUGAGAUACGGCCCAGACUCCUACGGGAGGCAGCAGUGGGGAACAUUGCACAAUGGGCGGAAGCCUGAUGCAGCAACGCCGCGUGCGGGAUGACGGCCUUCGGGUUGUAAACCGCUUUCGCCUGUGACGAAGCGUGAGUGACGGUAAUGGGUAAAGAAGCACCGGCUAACUACGG
rnacentral:rRNA from 1 species